AUUGACCUCGGAUCAGGUAGGGAUACCCGCUGAACUUAAGCAUAUCAAUAAGCGGAGGAAAAGAAACCAACAGGGAUUGCCUCAGUAACGGCGAGUGAAGCGGCAAUAGCUCAGAUUUGAAAUCUGGCCCUUUCGGGGUCCGAGUUGUAAUCUGCAGAGAGUGUUUCGGGUAAGACCGCGGUCUAAGUGCAUUGGAACAUGACAUCGUAGAGGGUGAGAAUCCCGUAUGCGACCGUGGCUCGAGCCCAUGUGAAGCCUCUUUGACGAGUCGAGUUGUUUGGGAAUGCAGCUCAAAAUGGGUGGUAAAUUUCAUCUAAAGCUAAAUACUGGCUGGAGACCGAUAGCGCACAAGUAGAGUGAUCGAAAGAUGAAAAGCACUUUGGAAAGAGAGUUAAACAGUACGUGAAAUUGUUGAAA
rnacentral:rRNA from 1 species